rnacentral:rRNA from 1 species
UACGGAGGGGGUUAGCGUUGUUCGGAAUUACUGGGCGUAAAGCGCACGUAGGCGGAUCAGAAAGUAAGGGGUGAAAUCCCAGGGCUCAACCCUGGAACUGCCUCUUAAACUCCUGGUCUUGAGUUCGAGAGAGGUGAGUGGAAUUCCGAGUGUAGAGGUGAAAUUCGUAGAUAUUCGGAGGAACACCAGUGGCGAAGGCGGCUCACUGGCUCGAUACUGACGCUGAGGUGCGAAAGUGU